UACGUAGGGUGCAAGCGUUGUCCGGAAUUAUUGGGCGUAAAGAGCUCGUAGGCGGUUUGUUGCGUCUGCUGUGAAAACUCGGGGCUUAACCCCGGGCCUGCAGUGGGUACGGGCAGACUAGAGUGCGGUAGGGGAGACUGGAAUUCCUGGUGUAGCGGUGAAAUGCGCAGAUAUCGGGAGGAACACCGAUGGCGAAGGCAGGUCUCUGGGCAUUAACUGACGCUGAGGAGCGAAAGCGUGGGGAGCGAACAGG
rnacentral:rRNA from 1 species